GUGUCCUGGCUGGAACCAAUGCAGCAUUUGAUGCUCUUGGACGUGGUACAUGCGACUGGAAGGCCAAGUGUGUCGCAUUUGGUGCAGAUGGUGCUAAAGUCAACAUGGGUGUGCAUAGGGGAGUGAGUGCUCUACUCAAACAGGCAGCCGGACAGCAUGUAAUUCCCAUUCAUUGCAUGCCUCACAGGUGAAUGUACAUACAUUGUGCCCUAACUAUAUUACAGAAUGUCAUGGUUGAUUGUAUGCAUUUGUCCAUUAGUAAUAGGCUACUGCUAUAAGAUUUGUCUGUGUUUGUUGUCAAUGUCUAGGUUGGAGUUGGCCAUUCUCAACCUGCAGCGCAAUGAGACAAUGGUGGCCAAAGUCUAUGACCUUCUCCAUCUUGUGUGGAAGACAUACCAACAGAGCCCUAAAUCCAGGCGUGAGCUGAACCUGAUUGGAGAAGAGCUAGGUGUGAGGGUCUGCUCUCCUUCGAGCGUGAAAGGGACGCGGUGGAUUCCCCAUGUACACCGGGCACUGAGUGUGUUCCUUCGUGCAGCAAAAGAAGGGAGUCUGUCAACUGACAGUGGUCAGUAUUCGGCUGUUUUGCGCCACAUGGACCACCUUGCCUCCUCAGCAACCAGUGCUGAAAUUCAAGGGCGUGCAAAGAAGGGUGUACCACUCUCAGGAGAUGUCACAGGAAUGCAGCAGAGGCUACAGAGAAACAUCACCUCUGUCAUCACCACCACUGUGGAAGCCAUUAACACCAGAUUCGGCAGUCUCAUCAAUGAGGACUCCGAAGACUACUCUGCAGUGAAUUGCAUGAAAAUCUUUCAUCACGACACCUGGCCUGAGAAUACCAAUGAACUGGUUGAUUAUGGAAACGAUCAGUUGGAGGCCCUAAUGGAGCAUUUUCGUCAUGUCCUUACAAGGCACGUUGCUGUCUAAUAUCAUGGAUUUGAUGGGUUACCAGAUUAUGAAACAGAUGAGUGACAAGCCUAUGUUUUUCUCUCUCUAGCUCUGGAUGUCAGAUGGAUGCUUUGCCAGGGGAAUGGCAGAGUUUGAAGACCCUUUUAAAUUACUCUUACAGAACAUCAUACACCUUGUGGACAUACUGUUGGUCCUCCCAAUUUCUUCUGCACAGUGUGAGCGGGGCUUCUCUGCGCAGAAACGCCUCAAAAGCUCUUUGAGGAGCUGCUUGCAUGUCUCCACCACAGAGGAUCUUAUCAGGAUCACUACAGAGGGCCCCUCACUUGAAUUAUUUGAUCCCACUAAAUGUGCCGAAAACUGUCUGUCAGCUGGAAAAAGGUCACGUCGACCCAACUACAAGUCAUGGCCAAGUGAUUCCGAGUCCGACAUGAUUUUUGUGUAGCCUAAAUGUGAUAUUUUCUAUUUAUCUUUUUAGUAAAUCGGUGCUGUUUUGUGUAGCCUAAAUGUAAUCUUGUCUAUUUGUAUUAAUUUAGUUUUAGUAAGUUGGUGCUGUUGGUGCGGUUGGUGUGUGCAAUUUCUGCACCCUAAUAAAUGUUCUGAACAAAAACCUAUUGUGCCCCCGUUUUUUUUCCGGUGCUCCUACAUUUUUUAUCUUAGGGGCACGAGUGCUCCUGAAAAAAAAAGUUAGCGUAGAGCCCUGACCACAAGUAUAUAACUAUUAUAACUCCCAACUAGACGACCCCAAGCUUUCUAAGUAGCCGAUCUACUGUUUUCCCCUCAUCCAGCUCAAGAGUCCCCUUAAUUGUCUGCCCCCACCAGACGAGACCAAAUUUGCCUUGCAACAAUAGGGUAAUUGAAUAGCCGUUCAAAACCCCUCUUGACUUUAACAUUCAUACUGAAUCAGAGGUAUCUAAUACAUUUAUAUACACCC
ensembl:lncRNA